rnacentral:sRNA from 1 species
UUUUAGCCCUGAUAGAAGUGGAAAUCCUUGUCUCGUUUUUUUUUUAAACGAGACAAGAUUGCAACGGAUAGCAGGAAAUAGC